AUACAGCUGAAGAGUCCAAAAUAGGACGAAAUCCGCAUUGUAGAU
rnacentral:hammerhead_ribozyme from 1 species